rnacentral:rRNA from 1 species
GAUGAACGCUGGCGGCGUGCCUAAUACAUGCAAGUAGAACGCUGAAGGAAGGAGCUUGCUCUUUCCGGAUGAGUUGCGAACGGGUGAGUAACGCGUAGGUAACCUGCCUGGUAGCGGGGGAUAACUAUUGGAAACGAUAGCUAAUACCGCAUAACAGUAGAUGUUGCAUGAUAUCUACUUAAAAGGUGCAAUUGCACCACUACCAGAUGGACCUGCGUUGUAUUAGCUAGUUGGUGAGGUAACGGCUCACCAAGGCGACGAUACAUAGCCGACCUGAGAGGGUGAGCGGCCACACUGGGACGGAGACACGGCCCAGACGGCUACGGGAGGCAGCAGUAGGGAAUCGUCGGGAAGGGACGGAAGACUGACCGAGAAACGCCGCGGGAGGGAAGAAGGGUUUCGGAUCGUAAAGCUCUGUUGUAAGAGAAGAAAGAGUGUGAGAGUGGAAAGUUCACACUGUGACGGUAUCUGACCAGAAAGGGACGGCUAACUACGUG